UACAGAGGUCUCAAGCGUUGUUCGGAUUCAUUGGGCGUGAAGGGUGCGUAGGUGGCGCUGUAAGUCGGGUGUGAAAUUUCGGAGCUUAACUCCGAAACUGCAUUCGAUACUGCGGUGCUUGAGGACUGGAGAGGAGACUGGAAUUCAUGGUGUAGCAGUGAAAUGCGUAGAGAUCAUGAGGAAGACCAGUGGCGAAGGCGGGUCUCUGGACAGUUCCUGACACUGAGGCACGAAGGCCAGGGGAGCAAACGGG
rnacentral:rRNA from 1 species